AUUAGAUUAUCAAAAUAUAAAUAAUAUGAACCUUACACGCCCAUAGCUAUCCAUCUUCAUCUGCCGCUCUAUUUUUAGCGACCAGGCCAGGAUGUUGAAUACAAUCAACUUGGAAACACCACACCUAUGCAGACCACUACCUUUUUCAUGUGUGUGUGUGUUUUGUGCAGCACAGUGGACAAUCCUCGUCUGCACUACAAUGGCGUCUGGCUCCAACCGCCCCUGUGGAUUGUGACCUCCGCCCAUCUAUUGUAUUAUAUCCCGCGUACGCAAAACCACCGAUGACCAGCACAAUUAGCCGAGGCAUUUAUCGGAGAUGAUGUCAUCACCUUGCCAGCAAAGAGGUAUGUCAUGUAAUAUUUGAACAACUUUUCAGGAUGUAUUUCUAGGUUGUUCAGUGAAUGUAUUUUUCUUGUCCUCCUAACCCCUGACCCUCAGCUGUCACCGCCGCAUCUGUUUCUUUUCCCGCCACUAUCUCCACCGAGGUUGUUUUUACCUCACCCGGACAUUCCUCAUGAUGUAGGUCACCUGUGGGUCAUCAGAUCCACUUGCACGAUGGUCAAAAGGUGCUCCUAGUUCAAGGCACUAAAACCUCUCGCGUGAUACUCAUGUUAAAAAGGCUACGUUGUUUUAAAAAGUAGAAAUCAAGCGCUAAUUUCCAAAUGAUUCACUAAAAUCCUGCUAACCAGCGUUCUGCCUUUUGUGCUUUCGUGCUUGGCGGAGGGAAUAACAUUUUUAUAGUGAACCCGCGGUGCAUGGCUCCUUGACGGAAGGUCACGGGAGGUCAAAGGGUAUUCUCACCCGCUUUGCCCUCCUACUGUUUGAUUUGACCUCCCCCCCCCCGACUGCUGUACCUCUUCAAACGCACCCACAUUUAAAGUGGUUUUCUUUUUUUUCUUGAGUUCAGCCUUAAUUAUCUUUUCAGACUUGCUAGUUACAUUUUAUGGCCUCCCGUGUAUUUCCAACCUCCUUGUUGCUAAAUACGGUGACAAGAGCGUGACUCCAAAAGCGUAAAAAUGAGCUAAGUGGUUCAGAAAGACAUUCCCUCUACAAAUCGGACACAUUUAUGAGCGUGUUUGUCUGCCGGCCAGUUAGUAGUUUGCCAAGGACUGAACCCAUCACAAAAACAAUGAGCUCCAAAAAGAGCCAGUGGGACAAAUCUUCCUCAUUACUUUGGUGACACCUCGCACAAAGAGCCCCCACGUGCGCCCGUGUGACAAUUCCACAUCCCUCGUUACACCAGGAGAGCUAAUUCAGCCCGGCCCGCCUUUGUGAGGGGGCACCGGGUGGAAGCCGGAUAAGGGAGGGGUCCCGUUAGGAGGUGAGGGGGGCGGGAGUGUAGUCGGUGGGAAUAAAGAGCGAGACGAGUGAAAGGGAGGAGGGCCAGAGGAGAGAACAUGAAGAGACGCUGUAAAUUUAACUGCCAAAUGCAAAUGGCCGGCCACACACAUUAUCCACACACUCCCCGUCCUUGGAAACCAGACCGGUAUGCGUGUUGACACAAGCUGCGGAGGAAGUUAAUGAUCAAAGUUCAUUAUCACACCCCUCGAAAUGUCGUCACGGGUCAAACGUGAAUCAAGAUAGCUUUAAAUGCCGCCUAUAAAUGUAUUCAUCUGAUCAACAUAGCUAAUUUGAACAGUCUGCUCUGAUGGAUGUUGCAACCAGGAGUUGAAAUGCUAUGACGAGCCAGAUAAAAAAAAAAAAAAUGAACGAAAACAGGGCGGACACCAUGCGGUGCAGAGGAGGUCCGGGUCGGUACCAGUCGCUGGGCUUGAUGAAUGUCUGACACCUGGGAGAGCAUCAUGGCAUUCAAGAGAAGAAUGUGGGCUCGCAGUGUGGAGGCGAUCUGUCACGAAAUGUCAAACCGCUGUCGGGAUAUGCAUAAAUGAUGACAUCCUGCGUGAGCAGUCAAAACUCAGUCCGAGAUAAAAUGCACGUCUCGGUUAAUACACCCUCAUAUUGUCCUUAUUAGGUCCAAAAGAAAGGGAACCAUAUUUGAUUGAGUGGGGUUACAAUUGACCCAGCGUGCCUAUAAAGUAUUAUAACUUCCUUGGCAGAGGCCCACAUGAAAAGAUUCUUCUUCCAUCUCCUGCUACCACACCCUCCUUGGGAACCAGGAUGUUGAUCGAAAGUAUUUUCCCCCCCUCCACCUAUUGUUCUCACUUCUCUCCCAUGCUUACUGGCCAGCAAAGACACCGAAGCAAUGUGCCAAAACAGGCAGCGUCUCCCCCCUCGCUCCCCCGUUCGGCACCCUGGUGUCCUGGAGCGUCUGUUAUCUUGUAGGAAAUGGACUGGUCACAACCCAGAGAGGACAGAUGGUCUGCGUGACGUUAGGAAGUCCUGGUGAGGACUGAUAACCAAUGAUGCGACCUCUUCCUGUCGGCCAACAUCCAGCCGUUUGAUUCAAGUAUUUUUUGGGAGACGUCAACACGCACAUGAAACAACAUGG